AGUGAACGCUGGCGGCGUGCUUAACACAUGCAAGUCGAACGAGAACGGGUUAUAGCUUGCUAUAAUUGUCAGCUAAGUGGCGCACGGGUGAGUAAUGUAUAGGUAAUAUGCCUCUUACUAAGGGAUAACAAAUGGAAACGUUUGCUAAUACCUUAUACUCCUUAUUAACAGAAGUUAAUAAGGGAAAGAUUUAUUGGUAAGAGAUCAGCCUGUAUUGUAUCAGUUAGUUGGUGGGGUAAUGGCUUACCAAGACUAUGACACAUAACUGGUUUGAGAGGAUGAUCAGUCACACUGGAACUGAGACACGGUCCAGACUCCUACGAGAGGCAGCAGUGGGGAAUAUUGCACAAUGGACGAAAGUCUGAUGCAGCAACGCCGCGUGGAGGAUGACACAUUUCGGUGCGUAAACUCCUUUUAUAUGAGAAGAUAAUGACGGUAUUAUAUGAAUAAGCACCGGCUAACUCCGUGCCAGCCGCCGCCGUAAUAC
rnacentral:rRNA from 1 species